UGGGGAAUAUUGCACAAUGGGCGCAAGCCUGAUGCAGCAACGCCGCGUGAUCGAUGAAGGUCUUCGGAUCGUAAAGUUCUGUUGCAGGGGAAGAUAAUGACGGUACCCUGUGAGGAAGCCCCGGCUAACUACGUUCCAGCAGCCGCGGUAAUACGUAGGGGGCUAGCGUUAUCCGGAUUUACUGGGCGUAAAGGGUGCGUAGGUGGUCCUUCAAGUCGGUGGUUAAAGGCUACGGCUCAACCGUAGUAAGCCGCCGAAACUGGAGGACUUGAGUGCAGGAGAGGAAAGUGGAAUGCCCAGUGUAGCGGUGAAAUGCGUAGAUAUUGGGAGGAACACCAGUAGCGAAGGCGGCUUUCUGGACUGCAACUGACACUGAGGCACGAAAGCGUGGGUAGCAAACAGG
rnacentral:rRNA from 1 species